rnacentral:rRNA from 1 species
ACCUUAAAGCUAGUCUAAACAUCUAAAAAMAACAACAAUAUUUUAAACCCAUUACCCUUUAAAACUUAACUUAAAACAUUUUCACCUUCCUAGUAUAGGCGAUAGAACGGAAACUUAGAACUAUAGAAACAGUACCGCAAGGGAAAGCUGAAAAAGAAAUGAAACAAACCAUCCAAGUAAUAAAAAGCAGAGACUAAACCUCGUACCUUUUGCAUCAUGAUUUAGCCAGAACAACUGGGCAAAAAGACUUUUAGUCCAUCUUCCCGAAACUAGACGAGCUACUUCGAAGCAGCACAUUAGAGCAAACCCGUCUCUGUGGCAAAAGAGUGGGAAGACUUCCAAGUAGAGGUGAAAAACCUAUCGAGCCUAGUGAUAGCUGGUUACCCAAGAAAAGAACUUAAAUUCUGCAUUAAUUCAUUCCAUCUGUCACAAACAACAUUUCCUUUAAGACAAAUUGUAAUAAUUAACAGUUAUUCAAAAGAGGUACAGCUCUCUUGAAUCAAGAAACAACUUUCAAAGGUGGGUAAUGAUCAUAAUCCAUUAAGGAAACACACCCCAGUGGGCCUAAAAGCAGCCACCUGUAAAGCAAGCGUCAUAGCUCCAGCCCUCACUAAACCAAUAAUCCUGAUAACAUCAUCAAAACCCCYCCCUAAUAUUGGGUAAUUUUAUCAUUAGAUAAAAGAACUUAUGCUAAAAUGAGUAAUAUGAGAUUAACCCUCUCCUCGACACUAGUGUAAAUCAGAAAGAAUUAAAUCACUGACAGUUAACCGAUACCAACCUGAGGUUAUUAUACAAUAAAACAAAAACAAGAAAACCCCAUUACAACAAUCGUUAAUCCCACACAGGUGUGUCUACAGGAAAGAUUAAAAGAAAAUAAAGGAACUCAGCAAACACAAACUCCGCCUGUUUACCAAAAACAUCGCCUCUUGCCCUACAAGUAUAAGAGGUCCAGCCUGCCCUGUGAUAAUCACUUUUUAACGGCCGCGGUAUCCUGACCGUGCGAAGGUAGCGUAAUCACUUGUCCUUUAAUUGAGGACCCGUAUGAAUGGCAUCACGAGAGUUUAUCUGUCUCUAUUUUCUAAUCAAUGAAAUUGGCUUCCUCGUGCAGAGACGAGAAUAAUAACAUAAGACGAGAAGACCCUAUGGAGCUUUAAACACUUAAGUUAAUUACUCCNAUAUAAAUCACCCCUUCGGGUAUAAAACAACAUAAAUAAAUCUAACUUAACUUGUUUUUGGUUGGGGCGACCANGGGAAAAACAAAACCCCCUUAUCGACUGAGUAUUCAAUAUACUUAANAAAUUAAAACGAAUAGUUUUAAUUAAUAGAACAUCUAACGAACAAUGACCCAGGACACACAUCCUGAUCAAUGAACCAAGUUACCCUAGGGAUAACAGCGCAAUCCUUUCUUAGAGUCCCUAUCGCCGAAANGGGUUUACGACCUCGAUGUUGGAUCAGGACAUCCUAAUNGGUGUAGCCGCUAUUAAGGGUUCGUUUGUUCAACGAUUAACAGUCCUACGUGAUCUGAGUUCAGACCGGAGUAAUCCAGGUCAGUUUCUAUCUAUGAUGAUAUUUUUCCUAGUACGAAAGGACCGGAAAAAUGAAGCCAAUGCCUAAGCACGCUUCUUCCCCAUCUAUUGAAGAUCAACUAAAAUAGACAAGGGAAAUCACAAAUAAACCAAAGAUAAUGGUUUGU